CCCCCUGUGUCUGUGCAGUUACCAGCCAGUCUCCCUGAGAAUUUCCCCCUCAAACACCAGGGAAAAUGAGACUUUGGCUCCAUUUACUUUUCCUUGCGGCUGCUCUGGAAGGGGCCCGGUCACAGGUUGUUCUGACCCAGUCCGGUCCAGAAAUGAAGAAGCCCGGAGAAUCCACUCAGUUGAAAUGCGCCGUAAGCGGGUUCACUGUCUCCGGCUAUUACAUGGCGUGGGUCAGACAGGAGCUGGGAAAGGAGCUGGAGUGGCUGGUCAGCUAUUACACACCUUCAUCUACAAAUUACUACUCUGACAGCAUCAAGGGGCGAUUCACAGCCUCCAAGGACAGCUCCAAUUUCUACCUGCAAAUGACCAGCCUGAAAGCAGAGGACACCGCCGUGUAUUACUGCGCGAGGACACACAGUGAGGGAGAAACCACCUGA